AUGUUUCGUCCAGACGUGUCCCAAACGCUGGAGCUUCUGGAUACCACUGGCGCAGUUCUGGUACAACACCUCACACCACUCGGCCAUCGGCAUGACUCCUUUCAAGACCAUGUUUGGACGGGAACCAAGGCACUGGGGGAUCACAGCGACAAAGUCCUGCACGGUGCCAUCUCUACAAGCUUGGCUCGAGGAGCGAGCAGUCAUGCAAGGGGUCAUUCAACAGCAACUACAUCGAGCACGCCAACUGAUGAGGACCAAGCCGACAAGAAGCGCUCAUUCCGACAGUUCCCAGUGGGCGAUCAAGUCUUCCUCAAGCUUCAGCCAUACAUCCAGACGUCGGUGGCUCCAAGGGCGAAUCACAAGUUGUCAUACAAGUUCUACGGGCCAUUCCCGAUCAUCACCAAGAUCAACGACGUUGCAUAUGAGCUCAAGUUACCACCACAAGCUACAGUGCACCCAGUCUUCCACGUUUCCCAGCUCCGGCAGGCUCUCCUUCCGGGCACAAUGUUGUCCACGACUCUGCCAUCACAAGAAGAGGAACUCGCGGUGUCGGUUGCUGUCCUGCAGUCAAGAUGGCUCAAGAAGAACGGCGCUAUGAAGGAGCAAGUUCAAGUCCGGUAG
rnacentral:rRNA from 1 species